GUUGAUGAGCUUCAUUAGUUUGAUUGUUAGAGAGUUAAAGCCAUAUGUCCAGAUGUUGGUGCAGUCCUUCUGAAAUAUCGGUGAAAAAAAUGUUUAUCUUUACAUUUGUAAGUGUAGACCCCUCAUCAAGUGGAAUCCGUGUCUGAUUAGUGAGGAUGUUGGAGUUGGAUUUAAUGUCUGAGAAUUAAGGCUCUUCUUUCUAAACACUUAUACAAUUGUAUAUUUCACAAGACCAAUCCCAUUUGAAGCAAUCUUCAGGUGUUAUUCAGGGAAGGCAUUUGAUGAAUUUUAUAUUCAGAGGCAGGCAAAGGUAAACGUCAAAGGUGAAUGUAGAAAGUUGUUCCAACAGGGAGCUACUGUCACACUAAAGGUGUCUUCCACAGGGAUCUCAAGCUUGAGAAUGUACUGGUGGAUCACGAAAAAAAAGAACUUGAAAAUAAUUUAUUUUGUUCUUAGUGUUUUACCCCAACAUCUUAAGAUCAGUGAUGGAUUUGGUUGUCUUUUAUAUCUGCUAUGGGAGAGGAGCAUAUGUGUACUUAAGGACAUUGGUCCCAAGUAAUAGUUUCAUGUCAGACUAAUGGUGAAAAGUUGAAGUUGUAAUUGGGAUUAUAUAGUAUUUAUUUCUUUUUUCUCCUAUACGUGGGUUUGAUUUGCCAAAUCAGCAAAAACUUAUGCCAUUCUUACGAGAUGCGAUCAAAAUUGGAUGGCUUUACUUGCUUCAUAUUCAUAUUAUGUUUUCUUUACUUGUAUUGAAUUUAUUUGGAUAAAUUUAUAC